CGAUCUUCAUCUUGACGUCAAUUCAGUGUCGGUCCUGGCCACAAGCAGAAGAAACAUGGGCUUCCAGCUGACACGAUAAUAAGUAUUUUCGCGGCCACAUAUUUAUAAAAAGUGACUUUAGCCUAGUGGUUCUAAGAGUAAUUACCAGUGCUAGAAGUGUUGGGUUCAAUUACCCUUAACUGCAUUUAUUUAUUUUGGCCCUAAAUAUAAAAUGGGACACGUGUCACUCCUAGAACGCACGAAUUGAUGAUGUGGCUUGGCGAACAUUUCUUUAUAUAUAUAGAUAGAUAUGGCCAACUAGUAACACAGACACAGUAUAUGCCACUCAAAUUUUCCUCAUCUUCAUCUAAUAAUAUUUCUAUCUAGGCAUCUUCUUCAUCACUACUCUUACAUCACUUACUUAAAAACACCUUUCAUAAUGUCAAACACAAGUUUAAUAUGUUAGUAAAUAAACUGGUUAUAUAAUGCGUUUUCGCUAAAGAAAUACUUCAUUUCUAUGUCAAAUAUUAAUGUUUUAAUUUGCACACAUAUUAUUCAUAUUUUAGAUUUUAUUUUAUGUAAUUUUUUAAAAAGAUAUAUUAAUUAAAAUUUUAAACAUUACUUUUUUCUGUAUACAGAAUAUAUUGGUGGUUUACACAGAAUCUCUUAGCUUUUAUCAAACAUUCUUUUCAUGCAAAAAAUAAAAAUAUUCGUUUCGUGCAAACGAAACUUUUCACUAAAUAACACAAUCCCUUAAGUAUUUAUUUGGACGUUUCUCGUAAAGGAAAUUCUUUAAAACUGCGUUACAAAACGUACAAUUACAUUUUGCAGAUAAC